GUGACCAUGAAGCUAGCUGAUGGGUGGCCUCACAAGCCCUUCCCCCAUGAGGCAUUUGCUAUUGACACAGGCUCCUUAUUUCUGCCGUUUUAUACGGGAGAGGAAAAGGGCUGGGAAUUUGAUUUGUCUAAGCAGUUGGUAUGAUUCACAGAGAGAUAAAUCAUCACAGGAGUUGGUUAGCAGUGUAUGGUUCUCAGCAUUCAACACAUUGUUUAUUAUAAGACACGCACCUGGGUUUAUAUUCUUCUGCCUGGCUGUAAGGCAAUCACAUCUUGCUAUGCAAACACUAAAUUUUACGUGUGAAUUUCUGACUGUAAUUUUAUGUGUGCAUUUUUUAACUAAACUCCAUCAUUUUCUAUGUUGACAUCUGUUGUUGGUUUGGUUUUGUUUUGUUUUUAAUCUGUUUCCAACUAUCUGAGUCUGUGAACCAUCUCUCCUGACUGGAUGCUGGCUUGAAACCUGUUAGUGCUUAAACAGACUCAGAAACAACCCUGGACCUCUGGGCAAACACAGGGGUGUUACUCUUUGAUAUAUCAUGGGCCCUGUGUGGCUUCAACAAACAAAGUCAUAAUUCCUCUAAAUUCUGUUUUCUGUAAAUGUUUUCUUCUCAGCUCUGCUAAAACAGAGAGAGAGAGAGAGAGAGAGAGAGAGAGAGAGAGAG
rnacentral:lncRNA from 1 species